CAAGCAAUUCCGGGUAUCACUGU
rnacentral:snRNA from 1 species